GGAGAGGUGCCGGAGUGGCUGAACGGGGCGGUCUCGAAAACCGCUUUCCGCAUUGCGGAACGGGGGUUCGAAUCCCUCCCUCUCCGCCA
rnacentral:tRNA from 1 species